GAUGAGUUGCUGCUGGUUCUCUAGGGAGCAUGUGCACACUUGUCGUCUUUAUAUUUCCACCUUGUGCACCUUUUGUAGACCUGGAUAUCUCUCUGAAUGCACACAAGCAUUUGGGUUUGAGGGGUUGACUUUUUGGUCUCCCUUUAUAUUUCCAGGCCUAUGUUUCUUUCAUAUACCCCACUUGUGUUAUAGAAUGUAAUAAAUGGGCCUUUGUGCCUGUAAAGCUAUACAACUUUCAGCAACGGAUCUCUUGGCUCUCGCAUCGAUGAAGAACGCAGCGAAAUGCGAUAAGUAAUGUGAAUUGCAGAAUUCAGUGAAUCAUCGAAUCUUUGAACGCACCUUGCGCUCCUUGGUAUUCCGAGGAGCAUGCCUGUUUGAGUGUCAUUAAUAUAUCAACCUCCUCAACUUGUGUUGAGUGUUGGAUGUGGGGGUUCUUUCUUUGCUGGCUUCACGGUCAGCUCCCCUGAAAUGCAUUAGCGGAACAACCUGUUCACUGUUCAUUGGCGUGAUAACUAUCUACGCUGCUUGUUGACAGUGAAGCAAGUUCAGCUUCUAACAGUCCAUUAAAUUGGACAAAUUUUUAUUAAUGUGACCUCAAAUCAGGUAGGACUACCCGCUGAACUUAAGCAUAUCAAUAAGCGGAGGAAAAGAAACUAACAAGGAUUCCCCUAGUAACUGCGAGUGAAGCGGGACAAGCUCAAAUUUAAAAUCUGUCAGCCUUUGGCUGUCCGAGUUGUAAUCUAGAGAAGUGUAAUCCGCGCUGGANCGU
rnacentral:rRNA from 1 species